AAGCGUUGUGAGGCGUUGAGCUAACCUGUACUAAUUGCCCGUGAGGCUUAACCAUACAACACCCAAGGGGUUUUGUA
rnacentral:rRNA from 1 species